UGAUCUCUCUCAAAAACAAACAUUAAAAAAAAAAAAAAAUCGUCCUUCCUGACAACCCUCGCUCUCCCCACUCCCCAAAGAAAAGUCCUGUUCCUUCAAUGCUGCUGAUUUUUACAAACAGAAUUAUGAAUAUGUAGUUUAGACCACAGUGUGAUUGACUAACAGGUUAACUUCUCUCCAAUGGAUUGACAUUUUAAUAAGGGUCACUACAUAACUGCCUCUUUCUCCUACCAAGUACCGUCCUCUAACCAGCUAUUCACUGGGGGCUGAGGAAAGUAUUACAGAUUAAUUAGGACUGCCAAAAUAAAAUUAAAAAAAAAAAAUGCUUUUGUGGUUAAACUAAAUUAGGACAGCUAUAGUGGUUUAUUCCAUCUGUCUUUUUUGACAGUCAUCUCAAAAGUGUUCAGUUAUGACCAGGUCAACGUGCAAGAAGCUAAAACCUAUUACCAGAGUCAUAAAGUCAGUCAUCAAGCACACAGGUGUAGUGGACCAGAUCUCAAGCAAAUGGGGGCAGGGAGAUCAAUGUUAAGACCAAAAGGGACUAAAAAGAGUUAACUUUUGGUAGGAAUGUCUCAGAGCAACCCCAGCGAAUGAAAUGAGCCAGUGCUAGGAUAUGGAUCGUUACUGAGAAGCUCUAAUAGCAAAAGGGCAGGAGAACUAGAGAACAAAGUUUAAACAGGAGACACCUGGUAACAAGAAGCCAGUGGUAACAAGAAAUGCAACUGGCUCUAAACAUUGUUUAUGAGCAGGGGUCAGAGAGCUGAACUUGGUAGUUACAAUUGUUGCUAUUGAUUUUUUUGGUUGCUGCUGGCGCCUUCUCCAUUAGUUUUCUUAAUAGGGGUUUCCUCUGAAAUUGUCAACUCUUUCUCAGCUGAAAGCAUAACAGCCCUGGAAUGUUCAAACAGCAGGGUGACGGCCAUCUGCACAGGUGUAGCUAGGCCUCCCGAACAGGCGGGAAGGUUGAAUAAGGCCAUCCCUGGGGCCUUCGGGAAUUCUAGAGAGUUUUCCUACACCCCGAUUACUGCCCAAGCGAGCAACGGUAUCCGUGGGCCAAAGGACCCCAGCUGCAGAGAAUGAAGUGCUCUAAGCGGGCCGACAAACGGAAGACUUUUCUGUCUGUGAAAACUCUAAGCAAGGAGAGUGAAAACGCUGUACACAGACACGGGAGAUGUGCAGGUGAAUGACACCAAUCUUACACUUGAUGAGAGAAGGCCAUGUGUAACCUCGGCAACAGUCAUGGGACCCAACAGGAAACUCUGGCCUGGACUUCAUCAUCGAAGAACACUGGAAAGCCUUUCCUGCCUUGAUUUUGGUGACAUCUAGCUUGCAACCUGAUGUUUUGUCUACAGACUGAUAGUUUAUGUCCUCUCACAGCUGUUCUAAACUUAUCACCUAAACAUUCUAAUAAAGCAUAUUAUUUACAUGACA